UAGGGAAUUUUCGUCAAUGGGCGCAAGCCUGAACGAGCAAUGCCGCGUGAGUGAGGAAGGUCUUCGGAUCGUAAAGCUCUGUUGUUGGAGAAGAACGUGCGUGAGAGUAACUGUUCACGCAGUGACGGUAUCCAACCAGAAAGUCACGGCUAACUACGUGCC
rnacentral:rRNA from 1 species